CCAGCGCUUCUCGACCGACUGGCACGCCAACAGCUUUGCCGGCUCAACCGUGCGCAAGAUCACGCGCGGCAUGUGGGCGCUCGAUCUGCUGAACGACACCAUCCUGAUGGCGCUGAUCCCGUCGCUGGUGACCAUCCUUGUCGGCUGGCACUGGCCGGUGCUGGGUGCCGUGAUCGCGCUCAUGACGGUGAUCUAUGUCGGCAUGACCGUUGCGCUGACCACCAACUACAUCGC
rnacentral:misc_RNA from 1 species